rnacentral:rRNA from 1 species
UACGAAGGGGGGCUAGCGUUGUUCGGAAUCACUGGGCGUAAAGGGUGCGUAGGCGGGUCUUUAAGUCAGGGGUGAAAUCCUGGAGCUCAACUCCAGAACUGCCUUUGAUACUGAGGAUCUUGAGUUCGGGAGAGGUGAGUGGAACUGCGAGUGUAGAGGUGAAAUUCGUAGAUAUUCGCAAGAACACCAGUGGCGAAGGCGGCUCACUGGCCCGAUACUGACGCUGAGGCACGAAAGCGUGGGGAGCAAACAGGG